AACGCACCUUGCGCCCCUCGGCUAUUCCUUGGGGCAUGCCUGUUUGAGUAUCAUGAACACCUCAACUCUCACGGUUCGCCGUGAAGAGCUUGGACUCUGGGGGUCUGCCGGCCGCGUGGUCGGCUCCCCUCAAAUGAAUCAGCUUUCCAGUGUUUGGUGGCAUCACGGGUGUGAUAACUAUCUACGCUCGCGGUGGUCUGCCGGGUAACCUUCGUCGCCGGGGGUUCGCUGGAGCUUACAAACGUCUCUCCUCAGCGAAGACAGCUUCGAACGUUCGAUCUCAAAUCAGGUAGGACUACCCGCUGAACUUAA
rnacentral:rRNA from 1 species